AUUGAACGCUGGCGGCAGGCCUAACACAUGCAAGUCGAGCGGAGCGGCGGACGGGUGAGUAAUGCCUAGGAAGCUGCAUGGUAGUGGGGGAUAACGUCCGGGAACGGGCGGUAAUACAGCAUACUAUCAGAUGAGCCUAGGUCGGCUUAGCUAGUUGGUGGGGUAAAGGCCUACCAAGGCGACGCUCCGUAACUGUUCCGAGAGGAAGAUCAGUCACACUGUGACUGAGACACGGUCCAGACUCCUACGGGAGGCAGCAGUGGGGAAUCUUGGACAAUGGGCGAAAGCCUGACCCAGCCAUGCCGCGUGUGUGAAGAAGGUCUUCGGAUUGUAAAGCACUUUAAGUUGGGAAGCGUUACCAACAGAAUAAGCACCGGCUAACUUCGUGCCAGCAGCCGCGGUAAUAC
rnacentral:rRNA from 1 species